rnacentral:SRP_RNA from 1 species
GUACGUCGAACUCAGUAACGCGGGCUUGUGAUCCAAGUGGAGACAAUAAGGGGAUGGGACGUUGGGUCGAUCUCAUUGGGCCGGGUUCGGGUUGGGCUAUAUUCUGGCCCGCCCAUUCCAAGUUGGGAGUUGAGGCAUGGGCUUCGAGCGAAGGCUCGGGUCUCAUGUCUUCUAGAGUGGGGGAGACCGCGUGAGGCUGGUUUCACAGAGCAGCGUCCACCUCCCGCUCUUGACGGUGGAAGGAUUACGGGCCAUUGCCUUCCGAGCCCACUAUGACCCAAUAAGCCGCUCCGAUUGGACCAUCACUUUUUUAUUUUCUCUUUCUUAUUUU